rnacentral:snRNA from 1 species
UUACUUACCUGGCAGCGGAGAUACCAUGAUCACAAAGAUGGUUUCCCCAAGGACGAGGCUUAUCUAUCGCACAAGAUGUACAAGGGCUGCCCAGAAUGCACUGGGAUUAGAGUAUACGUAAAACUCUGA